AUUGAACGCUGGCGGCAGGCCUAACACAUGCAAGUCGAGCGGAGCGGCGGACGGGUGAGUAAUGCCUAGGAAUCUGCCUGGUAGUGGGGGAUAACGUCCGGAAACGGGCGCUAAUACAGCAUACAAUCAGAUGAGCCUAGGUCGGCUUAGCUAGUUGGGGGGGUAAAGGCCUAACAAGGCGACGAUCCGUAACUGGGCUGAGAGGAUGAUCAGUCACACUGGAACUGAGACACGGUCCAGACUCCUACGGGAGGCAGCAGUGGGGAAUAUUGGACAAUGUGCGAAAUCCUGAUCCAGCCAUGCCGCGUGUGUGAAGAAGGGCUUCGGAUUGUAAAGCACUUUAAGUUGGGAGGCGUUACCAACAGAAUAAGCACCGGCUAACUUCGUGCCAGCAGCCGCGGUAAUAC
rnacentral:rRNA from 1 species